rnacentral:rRNA from 1 species
UCGAGAAUCUUCGGCAAUGGACGAAAGUCUGACCGAGCGACGCCGCGUGCGGGACGAAGGCCCUCGGGUUGUAAACCGCUGUCAGUUUGGAGGAAAUGCAUAAGGGUUCUCUCUUAUGUUUGACCGAUAUUCAGAGGAAGGACGGGCUAAGUUCGUGCGAGCAGCCGCGGUAAGACGAACCGUCCGAACGUUAUUCGGUAUCACUGGGCUUAAAACGUGCGUAGGCGGCUUGGUAGGUGAGAUGUGAAAGCCGACGGCAGAACCGAGGAAUUGCGUUUCAAACCCCCAAGCUCGAGGAAGAUAGGGGUGAUGGGAACUUAUGGUGGAGCGGUGAAAUGCGUUGAUAUCAUAGGGAACACCGGUGGCGAAAGCGCAUCACUGGAUCUUUUCUGACGCUGAGGCACGAAAGCUAGGGUAGCGAACGGGAUUAGAUACCCCCGUAGUCC